rnacentral:rRNA from 1 species
GACGAACGCUGGCGGCGUGCUUAACACAUGCAAGUCGAACGGAAAGGCCCUGCUUUUGUGGGGUGCUCGAGUGGCGAACGGGUGAGUAACACGUGAGUAACCUGCCCUUGACUUUGGGAUAACUUCAGGAAACUGGGGCUAAUACCGGAUAGGAGCUCCUGCUGCAUGGUGGGGGUUGGAAAGUUUCGGCGGUUGGGGAUGGACUCGCGGCUUAUCAGCUUGUUGGUGGGGUAGUGGCUUACCAAGGCUUUGACGGGUAGCCGGCCUGGGAGGGUGACCGGCCACAUGGGGACUGAGAGACGGCCCAGACGGCUACGGGAGGCAGCAGUGGGGAAUAUUGCACAAUGGGCGGAAGCCUGAUGCAGCAACGCCGCGUGCGGGAUGACGGCCUUCGGGUUGUAAACCGCUUUCGCCUGUGACGAAGCGUGAGUGACGGUAAUUGGUAAAGAAGCACCGGCUAACUACGUG